rnacentral:rRNA from 1 species
UACAGAGGUCCCGAGCGUUGUUCGGAUUUAUUGGGCGUAAAGAGCGUGUAGGCGGCCUGACAGGUCUGCUGUGAAAACUCGAGGCUCAACCUCGAGAUGUCGGCGGAAACCGUCUGGCUAGAGUCCGGAAGAGGAGAGUGGAAUUCCUGGUGUAGCGGUGAAAUGCGCAGAUAUCAGGAAGAACACCUAUGGCGAAGGCAGCUCUCUGGGACGGUACUGACGCUGAGACGCGAAAGCGUGGGGAGCGAACAGG